rnacentral:tRNA from 1 species
GCUUCUUUGGCGCAGUAGAUAGCGCGUCAGUCUCAUAAUUUGAAGGUUGUGAGUUCGAUCCUCACACGGGGCA